rnacentral:sRNA from 1 species
GUUGGAGGAUGUGACUGAAAUCACAGGCCACUCCACUUGCUAUUGUGGUAGGAAUUUGGGUGUAUAUUUGCCUUACUGGCUAUAAUAUCACAGAUGGACAUUAGUGGUGGCUGAGACAGGAGGUGGUGGCCUGCAUGCGCAGGGACACGACCCUGGAGACGGCUCUCAACUCCAAAGCAUACAAACGGAGCAAGCGCCAGACUCUGAGAGAAGCUCGCAUGACCGAGAAGCUGGAGAAGCAGCAGAAGAUUGAGCAGGAGAGGAAACGCCGUCAGAAACACCAGGAAUACCUGAACAGUAUUUUGCAACAUGCAAAAGAUUUUAAGGAAUAUCAUCGGUCUGUGGCCGGAAAGAUCCAGAAGCUCUCCAAAGCAGUGGCAACUUGGCAUGCCAACACUGAAAGAGAGCAGAAGAAGGAGACAGAGCGGAUUGAAAAGGAGAGAAUGCGGCGACUGAUGGCUGAAGAUGAGGAGGGUUAUAGAAAACUGAUCGAUCAAAAGAAAGACAGGCGUUUAGCUUACCUUUUGCAGCAGACCGAUGAGUAUGUAGCCAAUCUGACCAAUCUGGUUUG